rnacentral:rRNA from 1 species
GAUGAACGCUGGCGGCGUGCCUAAUACAUGCAAGUAGAACGCUGAAGGAAGGAGCUUGCUCUUUCCGGAUGAGUUGCGAACGGGUGAGUAACGCGUAGGUAACCUGCCUGGUAGCGGGGGAUAACUAUUGGAAACGAUAGCUAAUACCGCAUAACAGUAGAUGUUGCAUGACAACUAUUUGAAAGGGGCAAUUGCUCCACUACCAGAUGGACCUGCGUUGUAUUAGCUAGUUGGUGAGGUAACGGCUCACCAAGGCGACGAUACAUAGCCGACCUGAGAGGGUGAUCGGCCACACUGGAACUGAGACACGGCCCAGACUCCUACGGGAGGCAGCAGUAGGGAAUCUUCGGCAAUGGACGGAAGUCUGACCGAGCAACGCCGCGUGAGUGAAGAAGGGUUUCGGAUCGUAAAGCUCUGUUGUAAGAGAAGAACGAGUGUGAGAGUGGAAAGUUCACACUGUGACGGUAUCUUACCAGAAAGGGACGGCUAACUACGUG